rnacentral:rRNA from 1 species
UACGAAGGGGGGCUAGCGUUGCUCGGAAUCACUGGGCGUAAAGGGUGCGUAGGCGGGUCUUUUAAGUCAGGGGUGAAAUCCUGGAGCUCAACUCCAGAACUGCCUUUGAUACUGAAGAUCUUGAGUUCGGGAGAGGUGAGUGGAACUGCGAGUGUAGAGGUGAAAUUCGUAGAUAUUCGCAAGAACACCAGUGGCGAAGGCGGCUCACUGGCCCGAUACUGACGCUGAGGCACGAAAAGCGUGGGGGAGCAAACAGG